rnacentral:tRNA from 1 species
UCCCUGGAGGUCCAGUGGUCAGGGCCCUGCACUUUCACUGCUGAGGGCAUGGGUUCAACCCCUGAUUGGGGAA